rnacentral:rRNA from 1 species
AUUGGGCGUAAGGGCUCGCAGGCGGUUUUCUUAAGUCUGAUGUGAAAGCCCCCGGCUCAACCGGGGAGGGUCAUUGGAAACUGGGAAACUUGAGUGCAGAAGAGGAGAGUGGAAUUCCACGUGUAGCGGUGAAAUGCGUAGAGAUGUGGAGGAACACCAGUGGCGAAGGCGACUCUCUGGUCUGUAACUGACGCUGAGGAGCGAAAGCGUGGGGAGCGAACAGGAUUAGAUACCCUGGUAGUCCACGCCGUAAACGAUGAGUGCUAAGUGUUAGGGGGUUUCCGCCCCUUAGUGCUGCAGCUAACGCAUUAAGCACUCCGCCUGGGGAGUACGGUCGCAAGACUGAAACUCAAAGGAAUUGACGGGGGCCCGCACAAGCGGUGGAGCAUGUGGUUUAAUUCGAAGCAACGCGAAGAACCUUACCAGGUCUUGACAUCCUCUGACAACCCUAGAGAUAGGGCUUUCCCUUCGGGGACAGAGUGACAGGUGGUGCAUGGUUGUCGUCAGCUCGUGUCGUGAGAUG